UACGAAGGGGGCAAGCGUUGUUCGGAAUUACUGGGCGUAAAGGGCGCGUAGGCGGUGCACUAAGUCAGGCGUGAAAGCCCUGGGCUCAACCCGGGAAUUGCGCCCGAAACUGCAGAGCUUGAAUACCGGAGAGGAUGGCGGAAUUCCCCAAGUAGAGGUGAAAUUCGUAGAUAUGGGGAGGAACACCGGUGGCGAAGGCGGCCAUCUGGACGGCUAUUGACGCUGAGACGCGAAAGCGUGGGGAGCAAACAGG
rnacentral:rRNA from 1 species